UGGGGGUCACUUGGGGUUGUUCAAGGUUCAUUUGGAAAGUCAUUUAUUUCUGAAUAUUUUUUUAUGUACCUCUUCCAAUAAUUACCAUUUAAGCUUACUAGAACUUAAUGUUUUCUUUAUUCAAUUAAGCCGGUUCAUCUUCCAAAAUUUGUUUCCAUAUUCAAAUAGUAACAUAUGAUAAUGAGAAUUUAGCAGUAUCUUAGCCAUGUCAUCAAUGAGUUAUUGUAAAAAUUUGGGAUCCAUUGGAUUAGUACAAAUAUAAUUAAAUUAUUUUAUUACCCAAAGGUAGAA
rnacentral:lncRNA from 1 species